UACGAAGGGGGCGAGCGUUGUUCGGAUUUACUGGGCGUAAAGGGCGCGUAGGCGGCCUUGUCAGUCAGGCGUGAAAGCCCCGGGCUCAACCUGGGAACGGCGCUUGGGACGGCGAGGCUGGAGUUCGGGAGAGGAGAGUGGAAUUCCCGGUGUAGAGGUGAAAUUCGUAGAUAUUGGGAAGAACACCGGUGGCGAAGGCGGCUCUCUGGACCGACACUGACGCUGAGGCGCGAAAGCGUGGGGAGCAAACAGG
rnacentral:rRNA from 1 species